CCCCGCCAUAUUGUCCUGUCACAGCAGUACGUCCAGGCUACUGCUGCGCCGGGACAAACCGGCGGGG
rfam:Papilio machaon contig65024, whole genome shotgun sequence.